GAAUAUAGAGAAGCUGCUCGGGGGGCUCUGGGGCAGUGGGGGAAGGGACGUUCUUCCUCCUUCACAUGGGCCUAUGCUUCAGAGCCAUGGGGAGAGUUUCUGUUCUUUCCUGUGGUGCCCACAUCAGCCUGGAGGGAUGGGCAGGGCAGGGGCUGCCACCCAGAGUUGACAGCUCUGGGAAGUGAAAUGAGGGAUUUGAAGUGACCUGCCCAGAGUCACAGCACUCGGGAGUGAUGGAUCUGGGACAAGAAUGUAGUUGGUUUUCUGGGGACAGAGGUCCCUGAACGCCUGAGACCUCCAAAUCAUGGACUGGACCCUGAACCAGGGGCUCUUUUCACUCCCUUUCUCGAUCCUCCUGCCCCAGGUCUCUUCAGGAAGGUGGAUGCCUGGAGGUGGCUAAGUCCAGAGAAGAGCUUCAAUCAUUCAAACAGAAACCUCCGGCCCCUGACCUUGCUUUGUGGUGAGCACAUGACCAGUGACCAUCCCAAGGGACCAGGGGGGUCUGUUUGGCCGCCAGGCUGGCUCAGAACUCAGGACGUUCCAAGCCAACUGCCACUUAACGGCUGUGCCAGGAAAAAACCUUCCUGCAACUGACCAACCCUGCAGGAGCAGUUAACGGAAGUUAACUGAAAAUGUGGCCAUCGGGGCUGGUGCAUCAGUGGUUUGAUGAAUUCUAUCCACGACCCAUCCAUCUUGCUGACGGCCGACCUGAGCAGCUACCUGAGAGCUGGCAGCGCUCGCUCGAUGAAGGCCGCCGAAUGACCUGGAAGCCACCCUGAUGGGCAGGGCCCUCGAGGUUAAUGAGACACAGGUUUGGAUGUCUCUAUUCAGAAGACUUUGGCCUGUAAUCCCCCUCUCAUGGGCUGUCUCACACCGCACUUGGUAUCAAGAUUCUCCCGAUCUGGUGAAGGCAGUGUUGCUGUGUUCCUUCUGGAUCUAUUCUAUGGAAAAGAGUGCAUAAAAUUGGCAUGGGAAAUGGGACAUUUUUCUAAAUAGAGGAAAAUAUUUAAGGCAAAAAUCCUGAUAGAAAAAUCAAGAAUACAAAUUCAGAGCUUGGGAAAUUCAUCUCUCCACCAUCUCCAAUCUGAGGACGGGGUAUGUUACACUAACCUUCAGGUACAGCUGUGAUGAAGGAUGAAGUGUUGACUGAUGCGGGGAUGGAAUUUUGUUUCUAGAACAUUGAUCCUUGGGUUGUGCUUUGCACAGAGGAGCAUGCUUUCUAGAGAAAUGCACACACACUCCCAAAGGCAUUCACCAUCACUCCACACGGACUCUCUCCUCCAUAUCUCCCCACCCUGAUGCACCCCUAUUCCUAUUUAAAUGACAUCACUGCUUCUGGGAACUGCAGUGGAUGGCCACAGUUGUUGACUAAACUCUUCAUUUCUUUACACCAAACUGCCCAAACCUCAUUUCCAGCAGGAGGCUCAAACCAGGGUAGUUCUCCAGCAAAAGUAGGGAGGAAAGUGUCACCUUUCUCAAAGCUAAGAUUUUUCCUUAUUAAAUGGGAGAUCCCAGAGUACGCACGUUAGAGCUGAAUCGCUGAGUGUGUCUGCAGAGAGAAAGGAAAACACCGUGAGCCUCAGACCAUGCUGUGUCCUGUGUUCAUGGGUCUUUUCUUCACUUGGUGACAUUAGAAAACUGGUUGGGAGAUAGUGCUCGAGGCAAUGGCCCCCAAAUAAAGCCUAGAAGACACUUGAGGAAAUGUA